rnacentral:rRNA from 1 species
UUGCGGUACUUCGACCGUGCAAAGGUAGCAUAAUCAUUUGCCUUAUAAUUGAAGGCUGGUAUGAAUGGUUUGACAAGAAUAUAGCUGUCUCUAUAUAAUUUAAUAGAAUUUUAUGUUUAGGUGAAAAAGCCUUAAUAUAAUUAAAAGACAAGAAGACCCUAUCGAGCUUAAAAGGAAUUAGUAGAUGAUAAGAUUAAUAUUUAUAGAAGAAUAACUACUAAAGGAUUUUGGUUGGGGCGACUGAGGAACAUGAAAAGCUUCCUUUAAAAUGAAUAGACAUACGGGUAUUGAUCCAGGUUUUGUGAUUAAAGAAAUUAGUUACCGUAGGGAUAACAGCAUUAUCUUUUUUGAGAGCUCUUAUCGAAAAAAAGGUUUGUGACCUCGAUGUUGGACCAGAAUGUCCUAAAGAUGCAGAAGUCUUUAAGGGUUGGUCUGUUCGACCAUUAAAUUUCUACGUGAA